rnacentral:piRNA from 1 species
UGGGCAGAUGUGUUCAAGGGCUUUCUAUA